AAGUCGUAACAAGGUUUCCGUAGGUGAACCUGCGGAAGGAUCAUUAACACGUAUCCAACGUUAAACCCCCCGUGCAUCUUUAGAGAGCUCUUGUAAGCCCAUUAUGAUAGCAAUCCUGGUAAAUCAGUGGCGAAAGUAGUCUUUGAUUCAGGACCUCUGUCUGGUGAGAACCUAGCGGUAAGCGAGCAAUUGAGCCUUUUAUCGUCAGUCUGGAGUCCUGGCCGGGCGAAUGAAAGUGUCGCUGGACGGUUUCUAGGGUAAGGCUUCGCCAUCACUGGAGGCUCAACACGCCUUUAUGACGACCAAGUUAAAUAAGGCCUCUACCACAUAGCAAGUGCGCCGUGGUAGAGGAAAACGUACAACUGUUAACAAUGGAUAUCUUGGUUCUC
rnacentral:misc_RNA from 1 species